GAUCAUGGCUCAGGAUGAACGCUAGCGACAGGCUUAACACAUGCAAGUCGAGGGGCAGCACGGUGUAGCGAUACACUGGUGGCGACCGGCGCACGGGUGAGUAACACGUGUGCAACCAACCCCGUACCGGGAGAUAACCCGCGGAAACGUGGACUAACAUCCCAUGAUACUCGAGAGCCGCAUGGCUCUCGAUUUAAAAUUCCGGUGGUACGGGACGGGCACGCGCGACAUUAGGUAGUUGGCGGGGG
rnacentral:rRNA from 1 species